GCGUAAAGCGCACGCAGGCGGUCUGUCAAGUCGGAUGUGAAAUCCCCGGGCUCAACCUGGGAACUGCAUUCGAAACUGGCAGGCUUGAGUCUUGUAGAGGGGGGUAGAAUUCCAGGUGUAGCGGUGAAAUGCGUAGAGAUCUGGAGGAAUACCGGUGGCGAAGGCGGCCCCCUGGACAAAGACUGACGCUCAGGUGCGAAAGCGUGGGGAGCAAACAGGAUUAGAUACCCUGGUAGUCCACGCCGUAAACGAUGUCUACUUGGAGGUUGUGCCCUUGAGGCGUGGCUUCCGGAGCUAACGCGUUAAGUAGACCGCCUGGGGAGUACGGCCGCAAGGUUAAAACUCAAAUGAAUUGACGGGGGCCCGCACAAGCGGUGGAGCAUGUGGUUUAAUUCGAUGCAACGCGAAGAACCUUACCUGGUCUUGACAUCCACGGAAGUUUUCAGAGAUGAGAAUGUGCCUUCGGGAACCGUGAGACAGGUGCUGCAUGGCUGUCGUCAGCUCGUGUUGUGAAAUGUUGGGUUAAGUCCCGCAACGAGCGCAACCCUUAUCCUUUGUUGCCAGCGGUCCGGCCGGGAACUCAAAGGAGACUGCCAGUGAUAAACUGGAGGAAGGUGGGGAUGACGUCAAGUCAUCAUGGCCCUUACGACCAGGGCUACACACGUGCUACAAUGGCGCAUACAAAGAGAAGCGACCUCGCGAGAGCAAGCGGACCUCAUAAAGUGCGUCGUAGUCCGGAUUGGAGUCUGCAACUCGACUCCAUGAAGUCGGAAUCGCUAGUAAUCGUGGAUCAGAAUGCCACGGUGAAUACGUUCCCGGGCCUUGUACACACCGCCCGUCACACCAUGGGAGUGGGUUGCAAAAGAAGUAGGUAGCUUAACCUUCGGGAGGGCGCUUACCACUUUGUGAUUCAUGACUGGGGUGAAGUCGUAACAAGGUAACCGUAGGGGAACCUGC
rnacentral:rRNA from 1 species